AUGGGUAAGCUGCGGAAAGCUUCUCAUCGGGAUGUUCCUUUAGUAUCAUCUUUAGAGAGUGGAGAUUCUGGGGGUGAACCAUUUGUGCCUAAUGAUUUUGCAGAAGAUGGUUGUUACCCUGUGUCUAUGAAAUUAUCUGAUGACGAAGGAGGGCUUGACAAAGCUCUUCUGAAGUUCUAUCUUAAUCAAUAUGUUUUAUUUUAUCUAGGACUUUUCAUUCUUGUUUCAUUUUUGACAUUUUUUCUUUUCUCUUGUUCGAUAGUUGUGUUUUCCUUAUUUUUUCAGAAAGUAAAAUGCUUGAAGAGGAAAUUAUCAUCUGCUUCAAGGAGGAAUGUGAGGCAGAAACGCUCUAGUGAUUACCCUUCCUGUGCUACUUUCACUAGAUAUUAUGGGAAGUUCUUCUCUGGUCUUGUUGAUGGACUGUGUUCUAGGUAUCAUGGUGUUGUCCAGAGAUAUGGCAUGGGAUGUCUUUUAGAGUUUGUUAGGACCGAGGUUCCCCUCGGGUUGAUGAAGUGGCUCGCCAGUAGGUUUGAUGUCCCUUCAUCUGAAUUCCAGCUCAAAAGGAAAUUUAUCCCAAUGACCAAGUAUGAUAUUCAUGACAUCCUCGACCUUCCAGUAGAUGCCUCGGUCCUAGCCCAAAGUACCUACAUAUCUUCAGGGAUUGUCCUUUCGUGCGUAACUAUGAUCUGUCGAGAUUUGUUUAUGAGUGGCUGUUGA
rnacentral:rRNA from 1 species